AGGUCUGGUCGCCCAUGGUGAAGAUGAGCUUGUAGCGGAGGCGAACCUUCUCCUGCGGCAGACACGGGGAAGCAGAGGAACUUCCGGGGCCGGCGCUGAGCGCAGCGGGCAAAGCUGCCACCUGCAACGCACGCACCCCACAGGGGCGCUGCUCCGCUGCCGAUCCAGCGCCCUGCCAAUGCGCCUGGGAAGGCAGUGGAGGCUGGCCCAAGUGCUGGGCCUCUGCACCCGCUUGGGAGAACGGGAAGAAGCUCCUGGCUUCAGCCUGGCCCAGCCCUGGCUGCUGCAGCCAUCUGGGAAGUGAGCCAGCAGAUGCCAACCAGUAGUGUCUCUCCCUGUUUCUCUGUCAUCUUUCAAAAGAAUAAAUCUUAAAAAAAAAAAAAAA